UUAUCCAGAGCUAGCUGCUACUGCCGAUAUCCCAGCCGCGUACUGGCGAGCAUCUCUCUCGUCCUACGUCUCGUGUCGCCCUCCCCGCGGGCGGCCCGGGCGAAACCCUAGCCGCCACUCCAGCCCCCCUCCCAGAUCUCCCCCUCCCCUCGCCGCCGCCGGCAAGCGCCGCCGGGCAAAGCCCGCGUGGCGUCGGUGGCGGCGGGGCCUCCCAUUUUUUCCCUCUCACGAGGCCUGGGCAGCGCGGGGUCGCUCGGCCAAGGAGAGGAGCGGGGACGCGGCGGGCGCGAUGCGCGCGGCGAGCAAGCGCCGGCAGGCGUGGUGCGCGCGGCGAGAAGGCGCAGCGAGCGUGAUGGGCGCGGCGCGGGGUGUGCUGCGUGCGGCGAGAAGGCGCGGCGAGCAGGGGCCGGACACGAUCUAGGGUUUCGGCGGGCCCUGGGCUUCGCUGCUGAGCAGGGAUGCGCGACGGCGCGCGUGCGUGCACGACGCGAACCAGCUGCGUGCGUCGCGGUGGCGUGCGGGGGUUUCCCCUGUGCCGAUCUGCCGGGGCGGAUGCCCGGUGGCCUCGCGCAUCUGCCAUGGCGGGCGCUCGCGGGAGUGUGGAGGGGGCGCUGCUGCGUGUUCUUGGAUUGCAGGGGCGAGGAGUGGCGCUGUGCUUGUGCGUCGUGGAGGUGUGGAUGCUGGUGGGCUUCUCCCUUCAACCGUGUGCACGUCCAGCUCCUAGAGCAGGGGUGCCGUCCAUCCUGUUGGUGCUUGGGGAGGGUCGGGCUCACCAAUUCCAGCGCGGAGGUCCGGUCCUAGCGCGCGGCGGCGCGAGCCUGUUAACUUUGGCUUGGUUUUUUUGCUCUGUUCCGGUGCGCUGCGGUGCGGGCCGGUCAGUUUAGGUUCUUCUCUGGUCUUUCUUGAGCGCUGCGGUGCGAAUUCUCGCCUAGAUCUGCGCACGGAGUCAGAGGAUGGCCGAAGCCGACUUGGUUCGCCCAGGUCCUGCGAGCGGCGGGGCAGACCGGUCAGGUUGGCAUGUGCUCGCUUAGUUUCUGCAUGCGGUGGCGACAUUCCCGUGUCUGGUAGUGUGUGCCUGACUUCAUCCGGCCCGGUGGCGAUGGGUAGGUCUCGGAUCCUGGAUGGGUGGCGGAAGACUUGGCUCCGGAUGAAAAUCCUGCAUUGACCUCGUCGGUGCCGACGGUAACGACAUCUAUGGAUAUCGUCUUCUUCCUUGGAGGUACCGCCGUGGAGCUCAUUGCUCUUCCUACCUCAUGGCUGAGGUCUCGGGUGAAAACCUAAGAUCUGGCGGAGCCAGAUUGGAUGAUGGUGGUGUUAGCAAUACCACUUCCUCCUUGUAGGCGUCAUCUUGGUGACCUCGACGAUGGAUUUCGAUGAUGUGCACGGUUGUCGACUGAGCUUGGGUUUGUGUUGGUGCCGGCGGGUUUCUUUUUCUUUCUUUUCUUUUUGCACUAGCCUUUUUGCUGUGCUUUUCUCCUUUGGAGGGCUCUUGUUACUCAUCUUCUGAUCAAUGAAUUUGGCAGUUCUCCUAUCAAUGUUAAAAAAAAACAAGUGUAUUUUAUUCUCUUUUCAUAUCUCCGGGCCUCAGUGACUACGGCGUUUUGCCGAUCUUAAUCAAACUCCGCUCUUCGGCAAACUUCGGGUACAGAAGCUAGCAACUUUGAUUUCAGGCUCAGAUGUUGGUGAGGUGAUUACAAUCUAGUAGAAUAGAUCGCCCGUUCGUUUUCCGGCCAGGGAAAGUAUUUAAUGGUUGGCUGAAGGUAGUUGCUAAUAAAGCUAGAUGGCGCAUGGUGAGGGGUUUGUUCCUUCGAAUGAACUAUCGAUUUGUCAGUUAGCUGAGCGGCAUCUAUAUGAGCCUAAUACUAAUGAAGAGGUCAACCCAGUGAUCAGACAGCAGGUGCUCGCACAUGCGGAUUUGACACGCCAUCCUCAUGGUUGGAAUGUGGGGUCUACUCUUAGUGACUAUUCUUUUCAUCCACUAGCACCUUACCCUAAACCUGAUCAUGAAGCCUACACCCUAGGGACCAGGAUGGUAGCAAAAGGUCUAGAUUGAGAUGGUCACACAGUCGAGUAUGUUCCGCAACCCAAAGGCUAUGUUGAGUGGGGCAUCUCUAUAUUGAAUAACCACUCGUUUUGUUUGAAAGAAUAAGCGGAGAACACCGAUUACAUAUAUGGGGCCAUUUAUUGCUCUCUUGGUGAAUAUGAAGUUUCAGAUUCAUUACUGAGGUCACUACUGGAAAGAUGGGAUACAGAAACAAAUACUUUUCUUUUUUCAUCUGGUGAACGCACCGUGACUCUGCUUGACAUGCUUCUAAUGUUGGGUCUUCCUUUAGUUGGAGAUCCAUACGAGGAAUAUGUUCCCUCUAUAGAUGACCUAGAACCUUCAAAGCUUAUGUUCCCAAAUUUCUUAUCUGGCUUUUUAGAAGAAUUCUAUCGGCUCAGCCGCGUAAAUGGAAGUGUGAUUUUUCAAGUUUGGUGUGACCAUUUCCAUAACAAACGCGAACGCACUUCAUCUUUCACCUCCCUUCGGGAACAACACAUGUACGUUGUGGCUUUUAUAGCCCACUGGCUUUGCUCUUACGUGGUUGUUGGUGGGGGGCCUUAUAUUCGUCCCGGUGUCCUUCUGAUGGCCUCUUGGAUCGUUUUGGGUCGCAAUAUCUCUUUGGCCCCCUCAGCACUUUGUUCAUUGUAUUAUUCUCUUCGAAGGAUCAGUAUGCACCCCGUUGCCCCCUCUUAUGAGAAAAGAAUUUGGCCAGUGCAUUAUAUUGCGGGGUGGAUGGGUCUCUAUUUGAGAAAACCAUUUAAGGACAAAGUGAAAGGGAAACAUCUUCCAGAUGUUAAGCAAUUGCCGAUGCAACCAACCAUGAUUAAAACUAUGUUUUGGGUUCCCAUAACUUUCAGUCCUGCUAAGGCACGCAUUUUCCUUGAUGACCGAGCUAAUAUUUUUUGGAAUCCUUAUACUCCAAAGAACUUAGUCGGGGUGGAUCAGUUGCAAAGGUCUUUCACCAUUUCUUCACAUCGGGGUAUGCUUCCAUGGAGGCGUGCUACUGAUGUUGAUGAUCUUUGCAUAGCGGAGCCAUAUCAUCCUGAUCGAGUUGCAUGACAACUUACUUUGAGACAACAAGUGCCCUAUGCUCCGCUGGUCAGCGUGUACACAAAGAAGGAUACUGGGGUUGCGUAUGCGUAUUGGUCGCAUUUGUUACGCUCGGACCAAGGAGAGUUCCAGUACCUUCUUAAUGAUGCGCAGGCAUUUUCUUUUGUGGCCUGGAACAACUGGUGGGUGGGAUUUAUGAAACCAUUUAACAACAUAUUCAAUACUCUUCGUCCGGGCAUCUCGAAUGGUUCCGCAGAAAUGUAAUUUUCUGAAACGCGGAGAGGAGUACAUAGUUCCCCGCAAGCUUUCGGAGAAUGAUUUUGUUGUUAUAAAGGAAGUCUCCGCCAGGGGUAAGGAGGAGCAUAUUGCAGCCAUCAAAUUGAAUGGAAGGAGAAUUAUGGACCACCGGCAUCCCAUUUUGUGUGGCUUUCUCUCAAAUGAUGAACCUUUAAUCAACUCUAAAAAGAAGAAGCGAAAGGUUAAGGAUGUUGUCGCUACUCAACCCAUGAAAUCUAAAGAGCAAAGUGGCAUACCAAAGUAUGUUGUUGCAGUUGGUUCUUCCUCUACUCAUCCAUUGCUAGUGGGUAGUGAUGAUCUUCCGGAAACUGCCCCGGCCACCGGCGGGCAGAAGCGUAGAAAUUUAUCGCCCACUCAUGAUGACGAGGAAGAGAGGCUCCCCCUCAAGCGCAAACUUGAUUUUUCACAAGAAUAUGAUUUUUCUGAACCAAUAACCUUGGACGGUCAAUCGUUAGAUGUUGAGCUUAGUAGCUUUGUUAAUGAUGAAGAUUUUGGCCAUGUUCUCACGGGAGAAAAGGAUCAUGGCCUUGGUGACCUCUUUAAUUUAUCCGACGAGGAUUAUACCAUUGAUGAGUGUGGCACAAGUCGUCUGCCUUCCAACCCGGGUGUGAAGCUGUGCCCCAUACCCCUAGUGCUCUUGAUUUCUUGUCAACUUUACCUGGUUGCGACCAAGAAAUUCGCCACUCACAAGACCCUGAGGUGAUGGUUGUAUCAGGGAAAGGCGCACAGAUGGACUGCAGUUUCAUCAAGGACACGUUUAUGGAUGCUACGAAUUUCGUAGUGAAACGAGUCCUCGAAUGACUGAACGACUCUGCCCUUGGUGAUCCCGAGCGACGCAUCAUGCUUGAGAGUGUUUAUCAAACGCUGCCCAUGCAAGUGCUUGAGGUAGCUAAGGUGCAGGCCAUUUUGGUCGGGCUUAUUGACCUUUCCAAGAAGUUGGAGGGUGGCCAGACCGAAUUCAUGAGGGAAUCUGAGCGAGAUGAACAUGUUGUUGCUGAAGUAGAACUUAAGAUUAAGUCUGGGCAUGAGGUUUCCAAGGCCAUAAUUGAGGACUUAUCUACCGUAGAAAAGAAGUGCACUGAAAUGGAGGCGCGGGAAGCAGAGCUGAAGGCCUAGCUUGAAGAGGUUACUGCUACUUUGCACAUGCUUAAAUUGGAAAUGGAACAGCGCUGACAAGCACAUGAUGCCCAUCAAUCUGAACAGAAGAAGUUGGUGAAGAGUCUACUGGAUACCAAUGCUGGCAAACAUACAAGGCUUGCUGAAUUUAAACAAAAGACAAUAAAUUUAAAGACCGAAGCAAGUCAGUUGUUGAACAGCCUGCAGAACUGGCGAGCUCCUUGAGAAGGCCUAGACUUCGCUUAGUUUUUUUAUUUAGCCAUUUCAAUCAUUGUUCCAUUUCGAACCAUUUAAUUUCCAGUCUUCAGUUUCAAUUCAGAUGUAUCAGUGCUUUAUUUCUUCAUGUGGGAACUUUAGAUUUAUAUAUGAUAUACUGGUACGCGGACUAGCACAGAUUUGACGUUGAAGCAUCUUAUUUAUUAACA